UGGCCACAGAGCAGAUACCCUAAGAAAUGCUAGCCCAGUGCUCUCAGAAAUAACUUCAACUCGAUGGACUGUUGCAGUUACGCACUGUCACAAACAACGAUUCUUACUUCAGUCCCACGUAGAGGACAGGCUCCGAUGUAAUGGAUGAGGAAACGGAGGUACUGAGGGGCCAAGUCACUUUCCCGAGCCAUGGCUAAAAACUGACAAGACCGCAGCACAUGAGCCACACCACGGAAGCCACCCAAGUGUCCCUCCCCAGAGGAGCGGAUGAACGUGAUGCGGCCUCUACGCAUACAAUGGGAUAUUACUCCGCCUUAAAAAGGAAGGGAAUUCUGACACACGCCUCAACACGGAUGAACCCUGAAGCAUUACGCUAACUAAACUACAGCAGACACAGAGGACAAAUAUUGUAUGAGUCCGCUCACACGAGAUGCCUAGAGGAGCCAAAACCACGGAAACAGAAAGUAGACUGGUUGCUCCAGUGUCAAGACUGACAGUGAUCCAGGGACCUUUAGGGCAGACAACUUCAUUGUGACAGAAUGAGACCUGUGGCCUUUGGACCUCGGUGGGGCCAUAUGUCACCCCUGCAGGCCCCAGGCCCCCCAAGCCACCAAGAGUCACAGAGGCAGGGAGGGGACAGGAGGAGAUCUUGCCCCCACUGCAUCUGGCUCUCCUGCCCUCACCAUCCGCAGCAGGGGGUACACUACAGCUUCGGCUUUACAAACACAGGGAAAAAGC
rnacentral:lncRNA from 10 species